rnacentral:rRNA from 1 species
UAGUUGAAUUUCGGGGUUAGUAGGUUGGUCAUGCCUCUGGUAUGUACUGGUCUCACUGAUUCCUCCUUCCUGAUGAACCUUAAUGCCAUUAAUUUGGUGUUUUGGGGAAUUUGGACUGUUACUUUGAAAAAAUUAGAGUGUUUAAAGCAAGCUAACGCUUGAAUACAUUAGCAUGGAAUAAUGAAAUAGGACGUUCGAUCCUAUUUUGUUGGUUUCUAGGAUUGACGUAAUGAUUAAUAGGGAUAGUUGGGGGCAUUAGUAUUCAAUUGUCAGAGGUGAAAUUCUUGGAUUUAUUGAAGACUAACU